GGGUGAAGCUUAGAGAAAGUCUCAAAGAUGCUUAAAUUAAUUAUCUCCAUAAUCAUAACAUUGUGGAUGAUUUCAUCGUCACGGGGACAUAUUGGAGGUCAGAUAUCUAUUCAGGAUAUCAGAGAUAUAAAACCCCAGCAGUACUGCGGUCCGGUAUUGUCGAAAGCUUUGGCACUUAUCUGUUACGUCGAGAAAGAAAAAGUUGGCAAACGUGCUGGACAUAAUUCCAUCUAUAUUCCAGAUGUAAUCACGCCACCCCCUUACAAAGACGGAGUGGUACCUUAUUGGCCCUGGAUGUCAGCUGAGAAGGCAAGAAGUAUGGGAUUACAAGCGCGCGGGAAACGAUUUGUAGUCGACGAAUGCUGCUUCAAAGCUUGUAGUAUUGACGAGCUCAUGUUAUACUGUUAAAUACAUUAAC